AUUGAACGCUGGCGGCAGGCUUAACACAUGCAAGUCGAGCGGAGACUUCGGUCUUAGCGGCGAACGGGUGAGUAAUACCUAGGAAUCUGCCCAUUAGCGGGGGAUAACGUUUCGAAAGGGACGCUAAUACCGCAUACGCCCUACGGGGAAAGCAGGGGAUCUUCGGACCUUGCACUAAUGGAUGAGCCUAGGCCGGAUUAGCUAGUUGGUAGGGUAAAGGCCUACCAAGGCGACGAUCUGUAGCUGGUCUGAGAGGAUGGCCAGCCACACUGGAACCUGAGACACGGUCCAGACUCCUACGGGAGGCAGCAGUGGGGAAUAUUGGACAAUGGGGGCAACCCUGAUCCAGCCAUGCCCGCGUGUGUGAAGAAGGG
rnacentral:rRNA from 1 species